rnacentral:rRNA from 1 species
UACGUAGGGUGCAAGCGUUAAUCGGAAUUACUGGGCGUAAAGCGUGCGCAGGCGGCUUUGCAAGACAGAUGUGAAAUCCCCGGGCUUAACCUGGGAACUGCAUUUGUGACUGCAUGGCUGGAGUGCGGCAGAGGGGAUGGAAUUCCGGCGUGUAGCAGUGAAAUGCGUAGAUAUGCGGAGGAACACCGAUGGCGAAGGCAGUCCCCUGGGCCUGCACUGACGCUCAUGCACGAAAGCGUGGGGAGCAAAC